rnacentral:rRNA from 1 species
UACGUAGGGAGCAAGCGUUGUCCGGAAUCAUUGGGCGUAAAGCGCGCGUAGGCGGCUCGAUCAGUCUGUUGUGAAAGUCAAAGGCUCAACCUUUGAAUGCCGAUGGAUACUGUCGAGCUAGAGUCCGGAAGAGGCGGGUGGAAUUCCUGGUGUAGCGGUGGAAUGCGCAGAUAUCAGGAGGAACACCAACGGCGAAGGCGGCUCACUGGUCCGGUACUGACGCUGAGGUGCGAAAGCGUGGGGAGCAAACAGG